GCUGGCGAGUGGCAGACGGGUGAGUAACACGUGAGAAUCUACCUUUUAGUGGGGGAUAGCUCGCCGAAAGGCGGGGUAAUACCGCAUGUGGUCGCAAGAUCAAAACCGCAAGGUGCUAGAAGAGGAGCUCGCGCGCUAUCAGCUAGUUGGUGGGGUAACGGCCUACCAAGGCGACGACGGCUAGCCGAUGUGAGAGCAUGAUCGGCCACAAGGCUACUGAGACACGGAGCCUACACCUACGGGUGGCAGCAACCGGGAAUUUUGCGCAAUGGACGAAAGUCUGACGCAGCGACACCGCAUGUGGGAUGAAGCGCUUCGGCGUGUAACCACUGUGGCAGGGGAAAACUCAAUGAAGGUACCCUGCUAGAAAGCACCAGCUAACCACGUGCCAGAAGCUUCGGUAAUACGUGGGGUGCAAGCGUUAUCCGGAUUUACUGGGCGUAAAGGGUCCGUCGGCGGUUGGUUAAGUUGCUUGUUCAAGCCCGAGGCUCAACUUCGGAUCAGCAAGCAAAACUAAUCAACUCGAGUCUGUUAUAGGUAGCUGGAAUUCUUGGUGGAGGGGUGAAAUCCGUAGAUAUCAAGAGGAACGCCGCGCGCGAAGGCAAGCUACUGGGACACGACUGACGCUCAUGGACGAAAGCUUGGGGAGCAAAGCGGAUUAGAGACCCGUGUAGUCCAAGCUGUAAACACUCCUUGCUAGUUGUUUCCCACCUUGAGUGGGGAGUGACGUAAGCUAACGCGUUAAGCAAGGCGCCUGGGGAUUACGACCGCAAGGUUAAAACUCAAAGGAAUUGACGGGGGAGCGCACAACCGGUGGAGCAUGUGGUUUAAUUCGAUACAAAGCGAAAAACCUUACCAAGAUUUGACAUGUACCUGCACGGCUUUGGAAACAUAGCCUUCUUCGAGAGUGGUACACAGGUGAUGCAUGGCUGUCGUCAGCUCGUGUCGUGAGACGUCCACUUAAGUGUGGUAACGAGCGCAACCCUUGCCAAGUGUUAUAAGUAUCACUUGGGACUGCCCCGCUUCUUGCGGGGAGGAAGGAGAGGAUGAUGUCAAGUCAGCACGUCCCUUACAUCUUGGGCUACACACAUCCUACAAUGGAGCCGACAACGGGUCGCGACGCCGCGAGGCUGAGCUAAUCCUAAUAAACGGCCCCUCAAUUCGGAUUGCAGGCUGCAAUUUGCCUGCAUGAAGUCGGAAUCGGUAGUAAUCGCAAAUCAGCAGGUUGCGGUGAAUACGUUCUCGCUCCUUGUACACACUGCCCGUCAAGCCAGCAAAGUCAGCAGUGCCCGAAGCGGGUGCUCCUAACCCUUACGGGAAGGACCCCACUACGGCAAGGUUGGCGAUGAGGACUAAGUCGUAACAAGGUA
rnacentral:rRNA from 1 species